CUCAACUCGGGGCAGCAGCAGGAGCUCUGACUGCCCUUGGGUCCUGUCCCCAUGCAGCAGCGGCAGCAGCUCUUCACUGCCCAUGGGUCCUGUCCCCAUGCUAUUCCAUACUAUUCUCUAAAUAAAAAAGCACUACUGCCAGUCCUUGAGAGUCCAAGAAAUCUUUCUUUCGACUCUUCGGCUCGCCAUCCCCGCAUCAUGACCACCAGAAGUCAGAAUUCUAACAUCAAGAUGUUGACAGAGCAGUAUUCCUUCUGGAGCUUUCAGAAGACAACCUGGGAACCCGUUUCCUUGCCUUUUCCAGCGUCCAGAGGCUGUCUGUCUUCCUUGGCUCAUGGCUCCUUCCUGCAUUUUCAAAGUGCGUCACUCCCACUGCCGGUCCCAUUGUCACAUCUCCUUUUUUUGACUUUGACCCUCUUGCCUCCCUCUUAUAAGGGCCCUUGUGAUUACAUUGGGCCUACCUGCAUAAUCUUCCCCAUCUCUAGAUCCUUAACUUAAUCACGUUUGCAAAGUCUCUUUUGUCAUUUAAGCUAACUUAUUCACAGGUUCUGAGGAUUACAAUGUGGACAUCUUUGGGGGACAAUUAUCCAGCCUACUACAAUCACAAGUAACAGAUUUACUGGAAUCUUUAAAAUAUACAGAUUUUGAGUGGAUCGCCUUGUAAACCUCCAAAAACAGGGUCCAGGAAUAUGCGUUUUAAACAAACUUCUCCAAGUUUGAGAAUUACUGCUGUGAGAAAAGUCAUGUCACUCAAGAUUUUUGACGAUGAAUGAAAUUAGUAAAACAAUAUUUUAACGUAAACUUUGAGCUUUAUAAAAUCAUGUAAGAGUUAAGCUGUCUGUGUUGGGGGCUACUGAAUUUUCAAUCUACAAUUGCUUUUUUUGGAAGAGAAGAUUCUACAUAGAAUUUGGAUCAAAAAGAAAAACAAAAGGCAGAUGUUUUAGGUGUGAGAAAGCAAGCCUGCUUUUCUGGUCUGUGAACCACCGUAGUUAUUAAACUCCUUUGCUCCUUAUGGGAAUCCUGCUUUAGAAUACCUACUUUCCUACUGCCUUGCCUGCCACAGGGAAGCCUUUUAAAUCCUGUUGCAACCUGACUGUGUACUUGCACUGCUGUCUAUGCACACGGGAAGGAAUUCAGAACAAAGUUGGCAAGUUCUUUCUUCUCCCAUCAGAUAAUUAUUUUUCUGCACUGCCUUCCUUCCACUUUUGCAUGUGACAGAAGCUUCUGAGCCCUAAGGCUCAGAAUGGAAAAUUCUUUGUGUCAUGGUUAGUCAGUCUUCAAGUGGAGAGACUUGUUUGGGCGAGGUAGCUUCCUCAUCUCAACUUGGGCUCUUUUCCCUACCGCGAGUUCACAAAAUUAAACAUCAACCAAAAUGCCAAGGGGUUUCUCCUGGAGUCGGGUUCGUGAAGUUCGAGUAGGUGGCUCAACAGAACCAGGUGUCUGCAACCACAUCUGGUAUGUCAGCCCUGCCUGCACACUGGAAUCACUUGAGGGUCUUAAAACAAACAAUCCUCGGGCCCCAUUCCUAGAGAUUCUGAUUAAAUUGGUUUGAGAAGGAUCCCUGGCAUCAGUAUUUUUUAAAACUGUCCAAGUAAUUCUAAUGUGAAGCCAGGAUUGAAAGUCCUUGGAUUAGGGCAUUUUAGGUGGGUUCGGGUUAGGAAGUAGCUAACAGUAACAAUCAUUAUAAAGUUUUUUAAAAUGGAGUACAGUUAAGAAUUCUAUUUUUGAUUAUAUAAAAAGAGCAUUUGGGGGCUGGCCCCGUGGCCGAGUGGUUAAGUUGGUGCGCUCCACUGCAGGUGGCCCAGUGUUUCGUUGGUUCGAAUCCUGGGCGCGGACAUGGUACUGCUCAUCAAACUACGCUGAGGUGGUGUCCCACAUGCCACAACUAGAAGGACCCACAACGAAGAAUAUACAACUAUGUACUAGGGGACUUUUGGGAGAAAAAGGAAAAAAAAUAAAAUAAAUCUUUAAAAAAAAAAAAGAGCAUUCAAUAUGUUUAAAUACAUGGCACUCACUUUAGUGAUAAUUAAGAGUUGGGAGAGAUUUUAGAAAUAUUCUUGAUUUAGUAGAUUUAGUAGAAAGAACUUGGGCUUUUGGAAGGCAGAAUUGGGUUUGAAUGACUUUUGGCUGUUUCAGUUACUAGCUUCCUUACUACCCUCCUAAGCUUCAGUUUUCUCAUCUGUAUAAUGUGCAUAAUAAUCCCUAAUUUAUGGAUUUGUUAAAGGAAAGAAUGAGAUUUAAAUAAAGCCUCUGUCAUAUUAGUAAACACACAGGAAAUAUUAUCCCCCUUUUCAUACAGAGGAGGAAUUUUAGGCAAAAAAAACCCCUCUAUUGCAUGUCUUCUCUGAGAAAUGCAGUUAACUAGAAUGAAAUCUGAGACUAGACAAGAUAACUUCUAGUUAGGAUCCAGUUCUUUUGCAGAAUCACAGUGAUGUGGCUAAUAUAUUAUUUAGAAACAGUAAC
rnacentral:lncRNA from 1 species